UAGGGAAUCUUCCGCAAUGGACGAAAGUCUGACGGAGCAACGCCGCGUGAGCGAAGAAGGUCUUCGGAUCGUAAAGCUCUGUUGUCAGGGAAGAACAAGUACCGUUCGAACAGGGCGGUACCUUGACGGUACCUGACGAGGAAGCCACGGCUAACUACGUGCCAGCAGCCGCGGUAAUACGUAGGUGGCAAGCGUUGUCCGGAAUUAUUGGGCGUAAAGCGCGCGCAGGCGGUUCCUUAAGUCUGAUGUGAAAUCUCGCGGCUCAACCGCGAGCGGCCAUUGGAAACUGGGGAACUUGAGUGCAGGAGAGGGGAGCGGAAUUCCACGUGUAGCGGUGAAAUGCGUAGAGAUGUGGAGGAACACCAGUGGCGAAGGCGGCUCUCUGGUCUGUAACUGACGCUGAGGCGCGAAAGCGUGGGGUGCAAACAGG
rnacentral:rRNA from 1 species